GACGAACGCUGGCGGCGUGCUUAACACAUGCAAGUCGAACGGUAAGGCCCUUCGGGGUACACGAGUGGCGAACGGGUGAGUAACACGUGGGUGAUCUGCCCUGCACUUCGGGAUAAGCCUGGGAAACUGGGUCUAAUACCGGAUAGGACCACUGCCUGCAUGGGUGGUGGUGGAAAGCUUUUGCGGUGUGGGAUGGGCCCGCGGCCUAUCAGCUUGUUGGUGGGGUGAUGGCCUACCAAGGCGACGACGGGUAGCCGGCCUGAGAGGGUGACCGGCCACACUGGGACUGAGAUACGGCGCAGCCUCCUACGGGAGGCAGCAGUGGGUAAUAGUGCACAAUGGGCGCAAGCCUGAUGCAGCGACGCCGCGUGAGGGAUGACGGCCUUCGGGUUGUAAACCUCUUUCAGCACCGACGAAGCGCAAGUGACGGUAGGUGCAGAAGAAGGACCGGCCAACUACGUGCCAGCCGCCGCCGUAA
rnacentral:rRNA from 1 species